UACAGAGGGUGCAAGCGUUAAUCGGAAUUACUGGGCGUAAAGCGCGCGCAGGCGGUCUUCCAAGUCAGUGGUGAAAGCCCGGAGCUCAACUCCGGAACUGCCAUUGAAACUGUGAGACUUGAGGAUGAGAGAGGUGAGUGGAAUUCCCAGUGUAGAGGUGAAAUUCGUAGAUAUUCGCAAGAACACCAGUGGCGAAGGCGGCUCACUGGCCCGGUACUGACGCUGAGGUGCGAAAGCGUGGGGAGCAAACAGG
rnacentral:rRNA from 1 species